rnacentral:misc_RNA from 1 species
AUGUGGCACCUUCAGAGAUUGCAGUCUGUAUCUCAGCGCACUUGGCCACAACGCUGUGGUCAUUGAGACCUUCCUCUUCUUCAAUCAGGCAAUCAUUGUAGCCAUUCUUGUUAGCACCGGCCGGAGAUGACCCAGGUGCCUGGCGCUCCGGCGUGAGCUUCACGCGCGAGACCAAGUACCACUGAAUUAAUGAGAAAACGAUGCCAACCACCGCGCAAACAGGCACGAGUAUCUCCGUCCCUAGCUCAGACAGCACCGCCGUCCCCAUCCUCCUCACCUGAACCUAAAACAAUUCUCCGGCUUCAGAACGCCGGCAACUUUCAAAGAGUGAAAGAGAGAGAGACUGUAAGUAAAGCGUGAAAGAGAACGAAGCCCCAGGGC